GCUCAUCCUUUGCUUCGCACUUUUCCUUUUGUUACCUUGAUGGUGUUCAUCUCGGUGUACCGUCCAGCAGUACUCAACCAUCAUCGAAGUUGUUCAUUUUCCUUGAUACUUCCUUUCCAUUUCUCUGAUGUUUUGAUAAAACCUCUCACCUUUCUCUUCGUACGGCACCCAGAUGUUCAAGAAAAUAUUCCAAAUGUGAAUAUAGGAAAUUAACUUUUAAGCUCAUGGAGCAGCCUAAAUUUUUGUACUUUGCAGCAUGUACUCAACGAUUGAUUUAAAGUUCGGAUUUUUUUCAUUAGCUGGAAACUUGGUUAAUAUCUGUGUAAAGACUCUCUAAGCUUCUUUUGCUGCAGCUUCCAUUUGAUUCUCAAAAUUAUCAUUUUUGAGAAGUUUUCUGAUGUCAGGACCCUCUUUUAGUCUGGCCGUUGAUACGGCUGGAAGUUUGUCAUAGAUGUAUUUAAAACAUUGACCUUCUUUUGGUAAGCUUUAAACAAAUUGCGUCAUCAAGCCUAUUUGAUAUGCAGACGUGGGAGGAGAACUUUAUUCGGAUCUAUGAGAGCUUUUCGAAGCACAGUUUUGGUUCUAGGCUCUUCGUCUUCAAUUUAAAACAUUUUGUAGAUUCCCUAGGGGUAUUUAGAGGGGAUAAGAAAGAGGAGGGAGAGUUUCAAUGACCCAAUCUCUCUUCUAUGAAUUAAAGAAAAUUAAAAGAAAUAAAUGAAAAUUGCAAUAAAGUAGAAAAUUAGGCUCAUUUAUAACAAUUUUCAAAAACUGAAGGCGUCAAUGAAUCUCCCGAGUUCUGUAAAAUUUUGCUUUUGUCAAAGCAUAACAUCUUAAAUCUAUCUUUCAAAUUUAUUCAGUUUGUAACUGCUUAAUAAACUCAGUGAUUUAAAAGCAAUAACUGGCAUUUUUUAUUAUUUUUCUCUAUUCAAAAUAAGAAAUGUUCCUUUCAAAGCAGAAAGUCUAAUUAGAGACGAUAUGAAGAAACAAAGCAAAAACCGAAGCACUUGAAACGUAUUCAUGCCCUUUAAAAAAGGAAAAUUUCUCUGACGAAAGACAUGCAUUGGGUGCAACCUGAUAAACACUGUGAUAAGAUGCACUCUAAGAAAAAAGCGCUUUUUUCUGCAUCCCACUUUUCUACCUUCCAUUUUGCGCGGACACAGACAACGAGUCUCGAAUCUAAAGUGUCUUUCAGAGCUUCCGAUAAAAAUGGCGCAAAAGGGGAACUAGAAAACAUUUUGUUUCUGUUCAGUAAAGAGACAGAUGUUCGCAAGUAACGAGCAUACUUUAUAAUGUUUGUUUGCUCAGCGGGACGCGGGGUCUAUCUGUAAACGCCUGUAUUUUCUCGCACGGAAUACUGCUUUACCGGUUUGGCAACAGCGUAAUAACGCUGACUUUUAAGUUCCUUCUUUCUUUCUCUCUCUCUACCCGCCAUUGUAGCGGAGCAAGUUUGCAUAAAAUAAACACGCCUACAGUAAAAGGAAAGGCGAUCGAUUUCUUGCCCAAUUCAUCUAAACAUUGUGCCCCAAGUUAUCACGCGCUUUAAAAAAUCGUUAUUAUUGAUAAAUAAAAUCAGAACAGCGUGAGAAUAUUAGUUAUUCAGUUUUCAUUAGUAAUUAUUUGGAAAGGCGCCGUUUUGUAAUGAACUGGAUCUCAGGUUCACACUGAAUUAAAAAUGAAUUUUAUCCAUACCCAUAUUCUAAGUAAACUGCAUUAUUUUUUCAAGGUAUAGAUAAUUCCAGCUAUGGAGAAGUAUCAAACUAUGACUUUAUGGUUGGCAAAAGAUUCGAACGCUCUUGCACCAUUUUCACAACUCAACUAUUUUAACUGCAAGUUAGCUUAACGAAACCCCAAAGAACAAAUAGCAGUCGAGUCAAAAACGUGUAUCAAAUGAUAAAGGAAUGAAACUUCUGUCGUAAGGUAACUCGUGUGGUCAGCAGACUUCGUUGCCUAUUGUACUUUCUAAGUGAUCCUCCAUAGAUACAACAAAUGAAUUUCAAGCCCUGGACUCGUCUGGAAUAUCCCUCGUCUUCAUCUAACCCUUUCAUAUACAAUAUUCAAGUCCCAAAUGCCACCGCAAGGAAGAAAUGGUAUCGUAAGAAAUUAUAUGAGCUACCGGAACAAACGUCGAUGAACAAACAGAUCAGGAGAAAACAAUGUAUAACCGAAACUAUAUGUCAUAUAAAUGAAAUAUUUUACUUCUAACAUAAAAAGGAAAUGAAUCUUGACAGAUAUGAAACAUAGCAUAAAUAUAAAGGUCGUAUAAAUAAGAAGAGUAUAAGUACCUGUCUUCCAUUGUAUGUAUAAAUUUAUAAUAUAUCCAGCUGAUAAUUUUUAUAAGCAUUUGCAACUUUACUCUAAUUAUUAAAAGAUAUUUCUAAUGUCAUAUAUUACUUAUCUCGGUAAAGAAGAUUCAGUUUUGUAUUUUCCUUUGCUAAAGUUUUUAUUUAACAAUCUUCGUUGAAACUAAACAGACGAAAGAAAAAAUAAAAUACCUUCAUUUACUUAUCUUAACAUAUAACUGGUCUACAGAAAGGGGAAAGAAAUGCCUGAAGGUUUCAGAUUGCAGUAUAGCACUUCAAAAAAUGACUUACAAUUAAAAAUUUCAGAAACAUUAUAAUUUUUUUUAAUGAUUCUGUACUAGUCUUUAACAUACUAUGAUAUCAAAAACGUCUUCGAAGUUCGAAUUUUUAUAAAAUUUCUCAGUUGGUUAUAUUAAAAGAGAUCUAUUUUUUUAUCUAUUUUUUUAUCUAUAUUUUUUUUAUCUUAUGUUAAGUUGAUAUAUUGUAAAACAUAGUAAAAUAGAAUUUUAAAUUAUUAAAAACUAUUGAUCUUAAAUCGCUCAAUUUGUUAACUGAUUAAAUCUGAAAGUUGAAUGAACGACGUUAUGCUUUGCCGAAUGAAAACACUUUACGUGUCUUCAUUCGGCAAUUCAUUCAUUCAUUCAUUCAUUCGGCAAUUCAUUCAUUCCUUCAUUCAUUACGUGUGCGCGUAAGAUAAAAUUAAAGGUCUUAUAUUUCCUAUAUGGGCAGCACUUCUAGAGUUAACUAAAGAGAAAAAAGGGUAAUGUAAAAUUAUGCGAAAUAGAUUUUAAAUAGAACUCUCUCGAUUUCAAAGGGAACAAGAUAUAGGUCUCUUUGCUUCUGAAGGACGAAAAAAAAAAAAAAUUGCCGAUCCCUAGCGAGAAACAACUGUUUCUUCCAAAAUUAAUAUCUUAAGGUUUAUAAUAAUAAAAAAGCAGCUUUUAGUUUUUCUGUUCCUGUCAUGAUAGUUUUUGCUAGGACAGAAUUUUAUACGUCAAGUGAAAACAAUCCAUCUCUUUGGAAGUGUGAAAAAAAAAAAAAAAAAAAAGAAA